UCCAGGCCGCGCACCCCACACUUCCCACGCCUCACAUUAUAGGCCGCGAGCUAGGGGGCCAUAUCGUGCCUUACCGUUGCAAGCUUAACAAUUUACAAUGUUUUUUGAAACGAAAGCGUUUACCGUGAUAUUUGAAAUAUUACCAUAUGUAUGUAGUUAUGCACAUAUUUUAUAUAAACAUAGUCAAAGGAGAAAAAAACUUGUGUUACUUAACACUGACAGUGGUAAGUGAUAUAAUCCGUCCUGGACAUGACACAAUCCUUCCCUUGUUUGGCCAAUUAACUUUAUACAUUACAAAAUGAUCUUUUCAAUUUACUUCCCCUACCACCCAUGAUAUUUCGCCUAUGUCCACAGCCCCUUCAUCCGGAAAGUCAAAUAGUGCAUAUUUUGCCAUUUUCUUUAUUUUUCCAUAGCAAACUCACGACUAAAACUCACGACUCAAAUGUCAAAUAUUCAACGGACGUCUCACGCGCUGCGAAUAAGUAGCAUAUGUUUACAACCACAUUCGCAGCGCAUGAGACGCUCGCGGGUUUACAGUUAUCUUUUUCAGUUGUUGUUUUCAGUUUAAAUUUGUCUGCAUUGACAGUCGUCUAACUGCAAAAUGUCAGGAAAUUAUAAACGAUAUUUGUCCGAUUUUUCUAUACCUGUGCCAAGAACUACAAGAUGGUACAGAAGUCAAUUGAGAACAGAGGAACGGCCAGCAAGUUCGACCGAGGAGCACGACUUGACACCAGAGGAUGGAACAAAUGAAACAGAAUCCGCUGAAAUGGAUGACGAUGAGUAGUGAUUCACAAACAUCUUCAACAAUCCUGAAAUCCAAGAGCAACCCAUCUACUCUGGUGUAUCAAUGAACCAUGGACAGCUACUGUGCCUCAUUCUGGCCUUCAUCUUGAAGCACAGCAUUAGUGGCAGUGGAUUAAAAGAUUUGUUGGAUCUUUUAAAUAUUGUAGCACCUGGAUGUGCCCCCACAAGUAAAUACUACUUUGACAAAUCUUUCUUUAAUUUGGCAAA
ensembl:lncRNA